rnacentral:rRNA from 1 species
AUACGUAGGUGACAAGCGUUAUCCGGAUUUACUGGGCGUAAAGGGCGUGUAGGCGGUCUUGCAAGUCAGAAGUGAAAUUCCUGAGCUCAACUCGGGCGCUGCUUCUGAAACUGCAGGACUUGAGUGCUGGAGGGGAUAGCGGAAUUCCUAGUGGAGCGGUAAAAUGCGCAGAUAUUAGGAAGAACACCGGUGGCGAAGGCGGUUAUUUGAACAUUAACGGUGGCUGGGGGGCGAACGCGUGGGGGGAAAACAGGAUUAGAUACCCGGGUAUCCCACGCCGUAAACGAUGGGUACUAGGUGUAGGAGGUAUCGACCCCUUCUGUGCCGGAGUUAACGCAAUAAGUACCCCGCCUGGGGACUACGGUCGCAAGACUAAAACUCAAAUGAAUUGGCGGGG